CGACAGGCGGCCCUGGGGUCUUCACGCCAGGCGGGCGGGGUCCAGCCAGUAUGCAGUCGGGCUGGACAGGGGUCUCGGUGGGACAGCCUUCGGGGACAGCGCCAUCCUUGUCGUGCCAAGCGGUUACAUAGCUGUCUGGAAAUACGUCCUCAGCUGCCCCAGAUCCCGGAAGAAAAUCUCUCCCACACCACUGUAGUCAGAGAGGCCAGUGGGUGCAUGGAACUCCUCGCACGCGCUGUCAGCAGCAGCAGUGAGGAAGCCGGCAGCACAGUCUGGGAAGGAAGGAGGUGCUUGGCUCUCUCCCGGGCCGCCACCUUCGCCGUCCUCGCCAUCGGUCUCAUCGUCAGUUUCCUCGUCAUCGUUGUCACCUCGGUCGUCAGGGGCCGCGGACAGUGAGGGGUAGGCACCAAGCCCCUCGGCUUUGGCAGGUGUCGGGGGCGCAGGCAGCUGCAAACUCGCGGGCCGGCGCUGCUUACCGCUGUGCGCGGCACCGGGGUGCCCCGGGGGUGCGCAGCCAGCAGGUGGCGCAGGCGGUGACGCAGCUGCUCAGGUGCGAGUGGCGGGGGCACAGGGGUGGGCAGGGGCGCGGGUGCAGAGGUGCUCGCGGGUGCAGAGGAGCGCGUGCGAUAAUCUGCGUGCAUUCGUCGAUAACUGUCUAUGCGAAGCACCGACGCAGCCAUGAGUACCUGCGGGGCUUCACUCUGUGCCACAACGAGCGAACCGCUGUACAGGAGCUCGACUAGCUGUCGCACCGUCUGCACAGGCACCACCGAAGGCACACGGAUCUCAGAGGGGCCGAGCAGCAGCUUGUCUUGGAAGGAGGGCGAGCCGAUUGCCAGCCCGCAGCGGUGCGCACGCAGCGAAGCUUCAUGAAUGCACACAGUCACGUCGCAGAAGUGCCCACCCAGCUUCUGCCCAUUGAGGGUCUCAAGCAGAGAGCGUGAGAAGUUCUGCAGAUGUAUGUGGCGCACAGCCUCUACAGCCGCCGACUCCGACUCCUCUUCAGGCACCAGGCCUGGCCGUGGCCGCCUUCUCACCGACUCCAAGGCAGCACUUCCGGGCGCUUCUCUUUAUUUUUAUACAGUUUUAUUGAGAUAUAAUUUACAUGCUAUCCAGCCCAUCUAUUUCAAGUGUACCAUGCAAGGGGUUUGUAUAUAUUCACAGAGUUGUGUAUCCAUCACCAUCGUUUUAGAACAUUCAUCACUCCAGAAGAAACUACGUACCCAUCAGCAGCCACUGCCCAUUUCCCUGAUCUGCCCCGCCCUAGGAAAUCCGUAAUCACUUUCAGUCUAUGGAUUUGCCUAUUCUAGACCAUUCAUAUAAAUGAAGUCACACAACACUGGGUCUUAUGUGACUGGCUUCUAUCAAAGUUUGCAAGGUUCAUUUAUGUUCAUGGGCUGACCCCACAUUGGACACCGCUGCAUCCAUGUCCAUCACACAACACAGCUGCCGUUUCUUCUGCCUGCUUAUGGGAAAGUCCCCUCUUCUCCUCCGUUUUCUUCUCUUCCUGCCCUAUCACACCGUGCACUUCUCCCUUUCCUUAAAGAACCACCAUCAACUUUAGGAGGAGGGAAAGGGGUGGCUCUGGCAGGAAAAGCCAGAAUCCCCUCUAGCCAGCAGAGAGAGAGAGGAAUGGCUGCAUGUUUUCUCCCCCAGUCCAAGGCACUGGGUCUUGGCUGGGUUGAAGGUUCCAAGCUGCUCUCCUGCUGUGUCGGUGAGUUCUGGUCAACCUGCAACCUCCUGAUAUGGCCAUUGCAGUUCAUCGAGUCUUCAGGGACUCCCCAUGGCCUGGAGUACUUUGCCUUGCUUACACGGGAGAGGAGAAUGGAUUUAUAGAGAACAUCAUCUAAAUCCAACUUGACCAUUGUGUGGCCACACUUGCUAGAUUGCUAUAGUCUAAAUCUAGCAUUGUAGAAAGACGGGGGAGCUUGGAGCUGCACAAACCCAGGUCUGGAACUGGCUCCUUACCUUGGAAGGUGAAUGAUCCUGCCAGGACUCUUAGCCUCCCUGGGUCUCAAUUUCUUUAUCUGUUUCAUGGGAAUGAGGAUCUCUGCUGGGUGGUUGGGUGAUGUGGGGGCUGUGUGAAAACAGCUUGUCAAUACAAGCCAAAAUAGAAAUAUUUCUCCACAGAGUAUGAAGGUCAAAUGAGAGAAUACAUUUAAAUUAAAUGGAAAAUUAAAAUGGUAAAAAAUGCAAAGCUGUAUUGAAAGUUCCGAGCUUCUCUAUAAGGAGCUUUUUGACUAUGGAAGAAUCCUGUACUCGUUCCCCCUAAAUAUAAAAAAAAAGUUGAAGGAGGCAGAAGGGAGAGUGAUGCACGAUGGGCAAGGACUUCACCUGCUGUUGCUGGCUUUGAGGAUGGAGGAAGGAGGCCACAAACCUAGAAGCUGGAGCCCCUAGAAGCUAGAAAAGGCAGGGACCCGAUUCUUUCCUUGAGCCUCCAGAAGGGACACAGCCCCGCCAGCACCUUGACUUUAGCCUGGUGAGAUCCUCUUAGGACUUUUGGCAAUCAGAACUAUAAGACAGAAAUGGAAGCCACUGAGUCUGUAGCUGUUUGUUGCAGCAGCAAUAGAAAACUAAUGCAGGGCCCAAGAAAUCACUGGUGAUGAGAUCGGGAAAGUGGGCUCAGGAGGUCUGGAUCUGUGAUGAGAUGGGGAAAGUGGGCUCAAGAGGUCUGGAUCUGUGGUGAGAUGGGGGAAGUGGGCUCAGGAGGUCUGGAUCUGUGAUGAGAUGGGGAAAGUGGGCUCAGGAGGUCUGGAUCUGUGAUGAGAUGGGGAAAGUGGGCUCAGGAGGUCUGGAUCUGUGAUGAGAUGGGGGAAGUGGGCUCAGGAGGUCUGGAUCUGUGAUGAGAUGGGGGAAGUGGGCUCAGGAGGUCUGGAUCUGUGAUGAGAUGGGGGAAGUGGGCUCAGGAGGUCUGGAUCUGUGAUGAGAUGGGGAAAGUGGGCUCAGGAGGUCUGGAUCUGUGAUGAGAUCGGGAAAGUGGGCUCAAGAGGUCUGGAUCUGUGGUGAGAUGGGGGAAGUGGGCUCAGGAGGUCUGGAUCUGUGAUGAGAUGGGGAAAGUGGGCUCAGGAGGUCUGGAUCUGUGAUGAGAUGGGGGAAGUGGGCUCAGGAGGUCUGGAUCUGGGGUGGGGAUCUGGAGUGGAAGGGGAAUUCAUUUGUUCAUUGUCUAUCCUUUUGUAUUGAUUGAAUUUUUUAUAUAUAUAUGUGAAUUUUCACAAUAAAAUUUUUUUCCAAAAUAAAAUAAACAAAAGGGGCUUUUUGCAACCCAAUUCCUAUCUAUGUCUGAGUCCACUUGUAUUGCAUGGGUCUUUCUGCUAACGUCCUUAUAUUUGGGUGACAAUCUGAAUGUCAGCGACCAAUCAGAGCAGAGGCAGACUUUGGAGUGGGCAGGGCAUCCUGAGGGCCCUGAUUC
rnacentral:lncRNA from 1 species